rnacentral:rRNA from 1 species
GGACGCCAGUCUGCAUGGAGCCGGCCUUGAAAUACCACCCUUUAAUGUUUGAUGUUCUAACGUGGACCCGUGAUCCGGGUUGCGGACAGUGUCUGGUGGGUAGUUUGACUGGGGCGGUCUCCUCCUAAAGAGUAACGGAGGAGCACGAAGGUUGGCUAAUCCUGGUCGGACAUCAGGAGGUUAGUGCAAUGGCAUAAGCCAGCUUGACUGCGAGCGUGACGGCGCGAGCAGGUGCGAAAGCAGGUCAUAGUGAUCCGGUGGUUCUGAAUGGAAGGGCCAUCGCUCAACGGAUAAAAGGUACUCCGGGGAUAACAGGCUGAUACCGCCCAAGAGUUCAUAUCGACGGCGGUGUUUGGCACCUCGAUGUCGGCUCAUCACAUCCUGGGGCUGAAGUAGGUCCCAAGGGUAUGGCUGUUCGCCAUUUAAAGUGGUACGCGAGCUGGGUUUAGAACGUCGUGAGACAGUUCGGUCCCUAUCUGCCGUGGGCGCUGGAGAACUGAGGGGGGCUGCUCCUAGUACGAGAGGACCGGAGUGGACGCAUCACUGGUGUUCGGGUUGUCAUGCCAAUGGCACU